rnacentral:rRNA from 1 species
AAAGGUACGAGGAAAGCUUCAUGCGCCGGUGGAGGGGCCUGCGGCCUAUCAGCUAGUUGGUGAGGUAACGGCUCACCAAGGCGAUGACGGGUAGCUGACCUGAGAGGGUGGUCAACCACAGGGGAACUGAGAGACGGUCCCCACUCCUACGGGAGGCAGCAGUGAGGAAUAUUGGGCAAUGGGGGCAACCCUGACCCGGCAAUGCCGCGUGCGGGAUGAAGGGCUUCGGGUUGUAAACCGCUUUUCUGGGGGAGC